rnacentral:tRNA from 1 species
GCCUGCGUAGCUCAAUUGGUAGAGCAACGGAUUUGUAAUCCGUAGGUUACGAGUUCGAUUCUUGUCGCCGGCACCA